CUUGUUUGAGCCUCAUUUUUCAACCAAAAUAUAUUCUUCAACAGUGAUUUGAUAUCAUUUCAACCACACAUUCUUCAAUAAAAUAAUAUUAUACGCAAAUCAAAAACUUUUUCUUAUUUUUUAACCACACAUUUCCCAUCAAUACACUAUUCAAAAAUUCAUUUUCUUCACAAAAAUGGGGCUCAAACAAGGGCUAAAUAAGAAAAAUAGCUAACAUUUUUCACACUGCAUUUCCCUUAACUACAAAUUCAUUUCUAUUCUUGACCACAAUAUCAUACAUGUGCAUGGACUUUAACUUGCUCAAAUCUUUGGGGAGUGAGAUGAGAUAAACUUUAGAUCUCUUGUGGAAUUGCAGAAGUUCAAGAUCAUCAUAAUACCUCUCCCCCCUCAACAACAAUAUUUUCCUUUAGAGAACUGCAGACGAUGUAAUGACUUCAUUACUAGAGACAUGCACUGGCACUUUCGACGACCAAUGGAGGAGCCUUGACGGUCCCAAUGGUUUUCUAUUACUCGAACCACGCCGUUAUCGAAUACCCAAACACCGGACAUGUUUGUAGUAGAUGCUGGUUCGUGGGUUGCUGGUGGAGUGAGUGUGUUUAUAUAGGAAGUGAUAACGUUAGUCUGGUUGUAGUAUCAAAAUUUAGCUUUCGUUAAGGCGUGUCUGGGGAUAGAUAUAGUUGAUAGGGUCCACCUAGGACAAGUCUAAGGAUACAUUCUGGGUCAUUGUUUGGAGAGCAAAUAUUG
rnacentral:lncRNA from 1 species